GCAGUCGCCUCGUCCCUCGGAAAUGUGUGCUCUGUUGAGGUGCCGGCCUGGCCUCACAGUGCCGAGAUGGGUAGUUGUGGGCAUCCCUCGGACGUGCCGAGGCUUCUCGUGUGACCCGUUCUGCACGGAAGGAUGUGGCGCUAGGUGUUGCUCUAAUGGGCAUGGCCGUAGCACGAAGGGGCAAGUUUCCAAGCAUCCGGAAGUGCACUUUUGGCGGUUGAACAUGGUUGAGGCCAUGGCGCGUUUGUGGUUGAGGCCAUCAGCAACGUGUCCCCUGUUGCCUGUCCCUCGGAAAAGUGUGCGC